CACGUAGGGGGCAAGCGUUGUCCGGAAUCAUUGGGCGUAAAGAGCUCGUAGGCGGCUCAGUAAGUCGGGUGUGAAACCCUCAGGCUCAACCUCGGGCCUGCAGUGGGUACGGGCAGACUAGAGUGCGGUAGGGGAGAUUGGAAUUCCUGGUGUAGCGGUGGAAUGCGCAGAUAUCAGGAGGAACACCAAUGGCGAAGGCAGAUCUCUGGGCCGUAACUGACGCUGAGGAGCGAAAGCAUGGGGAGCGAACAGG
rnacentral:rRNA from 1 species